GCCUGCUAAGCGGCCGGGCUCUGCCGCCCGCCCGGCGAGCCCGCGCCACUUCCUGUGCGUCACUUCCGGCCCCCAGCAGUGUCCCCGCGCCCGGGCCGGGCCGGGCUCGGCCGCCGCCGCGGGCCUCCCAGAGCGCGGUGCGGCGUCCCCUGCGGCCUGGCGUCCCUGCCGGGCUCGGCGGCCUCUGCCCAGGCCUCGGUCCCCUCUGUGGCCCCGGUGACCACCGCCCGGCCUGGUCCCCUGCCCCGCCCGGUGUCCGCGGACCCCGGCGUCCCCUGUCCCGCCUGGCCCUCCGACCCGAGAGCACUCAGGCUCCGGUCCUUGAACACACCACGCUGCUGCAAAAGAAGAGAACAAAAAGCCAGACGCUGCUGUGGAGAUCUCCCCAGCCAUUUAACCCGGGGCCCCCUGGGAGCUACACCUGCCUGUUUCAGUUUUUGAGAUCUGCUGCUCCAGCAGCUGAGGUUAUAGCCAGAGUUCCCAACAAACCGGAGUUCAAUAAACUUUGUAAACAUUUUCUAAACAGAAUGAGAGUAUUAAACAGCAUUAAUGCUAAAAGGGAAUACUGAAAGGACAGAUAGAGCCAGGCAUGGUGGCAUAGGCCUGUAGUCCCGGCACUCCAGGAUGGUGAGGCUGGAGGGUCACAAGUUCCAGCCCAGCCCAGGAAAUUUAGCAAGCUAGCAAUACCCUGUCUCGGAAGUUUUUAAAAGGCUGGGGAUUUAGCUCAGUGGUGCUACCGCCUGCCUCGCAAGCGCAAGGUCCUGAGUUCAAUCCCCGGUACCAAAAAACAAAAAGCAGGCGGUACCUGUCUAUAACCGCAGCACCUGGAGGCUGAGCUGUGUGUUCAAAGCCAGCUGGAGCUACAUAGCCUGUACUGCAUAGUGGGACCUUGUCUCAAAACAAAAACAAAAAGCUGGGGAUAUACCCAGGGUGCAGGCUCUGCUUCAGCCCCGGGGUGGGUGUGGGGUGGAGAUUGUCACACCUAAGAUCUGAAUCAACGAAGACUUCACACCCAGGAGUCUGGAACCAUCUUUAGUUCUUCCAGAACAAAAUUCCUACCCUGGGUCCCAGGAGCCUGGAUUCAGGGAAACUAUUCCUUGGAUGGUCUGAACAGGACACCUUUGCCUGGGGUCCCUGGCUGCGUCCUCUCCCCAGGCGGGUCAGUCGCAGGCAGUGCUGGUGUCCCCCACAUCUCUGCCCAGGGUCAGAAGGGUCAGGGCAGCCGCUGUGCAUGGCUGGUGGGAGCCUGGUUUUUGUCUGUGCUGGACACUUGGCGUCGUCCUGGAGAGCCGCACAGUCAGACCUUCGCACUGGUCCCCAGGGUAGGCAGCCAGUUCUCCACCCCAACUCCAACUGUGACCUGCUUCCGCUUCUGCUUCCGUUUCCUGGGCCUCAGAAAGGUUGGCACUGUUUUUUGCUUUUUUACCCCCCAUUCUGGGGACUGAACCCAGGACCUUGCAAAUGUUAGGCAUUCUUUACCACUGAGCCACACCCCCACCCUGUUGUUUUUUAUUUUUCAUUCUGAGACAGUGUCUUGGUAAGUUACCCAGUGUGGCCUUGAACUUUCGAUCUUCCUGCCUCAGCCUCCCUGUGGUAGGGAUUACAGAUGUGUGUGCACCACUGUCCCUGGCUGCUGCCAGCUUGUUGCUGCCAGAUCACUUCUGACCGACUGGGUCUUGCAGGACAAGAACUGGUUCCUCUGGAAGGAGCAAGUGUCUUCUGGGCCUAGGAGAAACAGCCAGCAGGGCCCUGGGCAGGACCUGGUGAGGUGCUGGCCGGCCAGGUCCUGUGCUCCGCCUGCUCACCUAUCGCUUUCUCUGAGGGGAUGCAAGGCUGCCUUCUACUCCCUGGCCUCCCUGUGGGCAUGGCCCUGUGUCAGUAGCUCGGGGCUUGCUGGGUGCGAUUCAUUUUUGCCAGCCUGCAGUAUUCCGCCGUUUGCUUUAACCUGGGCCAUGCAGGAAAGGGUGGGAAAUCUCUGGGGUCUGAUCCUUCAUUUUGGCCCAAAGUCUUAAAGCCUCUACAAUGACCUCUGACCCCAUGAGACUCCCCCUUGAGGGUGGAUUCCAACCAGGGCCUCGCUUAUACUCAGAGUAAAGGACAGAGCUGGGGGUGGUGGUGCAUGCUUAUAAUCCCAGCUACAUGGGAGGCUGAGGCAGGAGGAUCACAAGUUCAAAGCCAGCCUGGGCAGUUUAGCAAGACCCUGUCUCAAACUUAAAAAGAAAAAAAUUUUUAAGGGCUGGUGAUGUAGCUCAGGAGCAAAGUGCCCCAGUACUGCCGGAAAAAGAAACCAAACCAGAGCACCACCCAGUUCCCUAGUGCUGCUGGAUGAAUGUUAUUGAUUGGAAUUUGCCUAUGGAUGUGAAGUCAGGAUCCAACUUCUUUUCUUUUGGAAGUUAUUUAUUACUGUUUUUGUUUUUGUAUUUUUUGAGACAGGGUCUGGCUAUGUAGUCCAGGCUGGCCUUUAACUCACUUUGGAACCCAAGGGUGGCCUUCAACUUGCAGCAGUCCUCCUAUCCCAGCCUCGGAGUGCUGGGACUACAGGAGCAUGCCACCACGCCCAGCUUGUUCCUGCUAUUUUGAGGCAGGAUCUUGUGCAUUGUGUUGACCAGGCUAGCCUUGAACUCCUAGUUGUGGGCAAUCCUUCUGUCUCAGCCUUCUGACUUCUGAGACUACAGAUUGUGUAGGACCUUUUCUUGCUGGCGUGGUCCAUCAUCCUGGUAUCAGACUGACUCUUCAGGCACUCUGGGAGGCUGAGGCAGAAGGACUGCAAGUUGUAACCCAGCCUGUGCAAUUUAGUGACUUAGCAAGAUCCUGUCUCAAAAUAAAACAUUUUUACAAAGGAAUGCGGGG
rnacentral:lncRNA from 1 species